GAAAUGCGAUAAUUAAUGUGAAUUGCAGAAUUCAGUGAAUCAUCGAGUCUUUGAACGCACAUUGCGCCCCCUGGUAUUCCGGGGGGCAUGCCUGUCCGAGCGUCAUUGCUGCCCUCAAGCACGGCUUGUGUGUUGGGCUUCCGUCCCUGGCAACGGGGACGGGCCCAAAAGGCAGUGGCGGCACCAUGUCUGGUCCUCGAGCGUAUGGGGCUUUGUCACCCGCUCCCGUAGGUCCAGCUGGCAGCUAGCCUCGCAACCAAUCUUUUUAACCAGGUUGACCUCGGAUCAGGUAGGGAUACCCGCUGAACUUAAGG
rnacentral:misc_RNA from 1 species